rnacentral:rRNA from 1 species
UACGUAGGGUGCGAGCGUUAAUCGGAAUUACUGGGCGUAAAGCGUGCGCAGGCGGUUUUGUAAGCCAGAUGUGAAAUCCCCGGGCUUAACCUGGGAAUGGCAUUUGGGACUGCAAGGCUUGAGUGCGGCAGAGGAGACUGGAAUUCCUGGUGUAGCGGUGGAAUGCGCAGAUAUCAGGAAGAACACCCGUGGCUAAGGCGGCUCUCUAGUACGGUACUGACGCUGAGACGCGAAAGCGUGGGGAGCGAACAGG